UCGUUAACCUGUUGGGGGCAUAUGAAAUGGAUAUGUGAAUCAAUUCCGCCGGCGGUUACAAUUUUUCCCUCCGCUGCAAUAAUUUCGGUUGCAGGGCCAAUGAUGAUAUCGACAUCGGGCUGAAUAUCGGGAUUGCCAGCUUUACCGAUUUUUUCGAUAAUCCCGUCUUUCAAACCGAUAUCGGCUUUAUAGAUGCCGGUAUAAUCAACAAUAAGGGCAUUGGUGAUAACUGUAUCCAUAGCCCCUUUUUCCCGUGAAUACUGGCUUUGCCCCAUGCCAUCGCGG
rfam:Bartonella apis strain PEB0149 NODE_1_len_1448678_cov_97_6187_ID_1.8, whole genome shotgun sequence.